GUAUAAACGCAGAGUGACGCGCCCCUCGGACACUGCUGCUGAAGAUCUUUGUGUUUUGUUCUAUUGUGUGUGCUUGCAACUCUCGGUGCCCGUGCUACUGCUCAAAGUAGCAUCAAAUAAAAACAACAGUUCGAAGCGAGCGGUAGUGCGGGCGCAGCUGAUGGAAUAAUUAUCCUGGUCUCAGCUGCGUAAAAACACCGAAGUUUUUUCAACGUGCCACAAAUGAAGUGUUUUAUUUGGGUCGUUCGAGAAACCGGUGCCCGUUCGCAACAUUGAAAAAACUUCGCUGAUGAUUCGACCGAAGGCGGUGACCACGGAACAACGGAAGCAGGAAGCGGAUGUGCGUGGCAGCCAAAAUCAACUCCGUCCGGAUUGCAGCGGUGAUCAAGUAAGCUGGCUGAAGAAGGUGAUGGUGGAAGAAGAGGCGUCCAAAAUGGAGUCCAACGGGCAGAGCUGCACGUCACCCAGGUCGCUUCUUUUCGCCAUCGUCUCCACGUCUUCAGCUUACACACCCAGAAGCUCACCGAAGGAACGUCUUGCAACUGCUCACGGCCGACAGCUAGCGGAUCUGUGCUGCGUCAAGUGUGGUUCGUGUGGAGUCCGGCGAGGUGCAAUUGCCUUGUACAGGAGCGAGGGGGCAGACACUGUCGGCGGCAGAAGCAGAACAACCGAAGAGCGUCAAAAUGGAGUCAGCGAGGUAGCAGAUCCACGUCGCUAGUAAGUUGUGCUCAGCCAGCCCGUUCAGCAGCUCCGCAACGCGCCACUGGUAGUUGAGAAAAACUCCAACUUCAACGAAGCAGGAGUGUUACGGGGGGGAGUGUUGCGUAUAAACGCAGAGUGACGCGCCCCUCGGACACUGCUGCUGAAGAUCUUUGUGUUUUGUUCUAUUGUGUGUGCUUGCAACUCUCGGUGCCCGUGCUACUGCUCAAAGUAGCAUCAAAUAAAAACAACAGUUCGAAGCGAGCGGUAGUGCGGGCGCAGCUGAUGGAAUAAUUAUCCUGGUCUCAGCUGCGUAAAAACACCGAAGUUUUUUCAACGUGCCACAAAUGAAGUGUUUUAUUUGGGUCGUUCGAGAAACCGGUGCCCGUUCGCAA